UUAUUUGCUCUUGAACGAGGAAAUCCCUAGUAAGCACAAGUCACUAGCUUGUGCUGAUUACGUCCCCUGCCCUUUGUACACACCGCCCGUCGCUACUACCGAUUGAAUGGCUUAGUGAGGCCCUCGGAUCGGAGGUGAGGACUGGCAACAGACCUCGCUUUCAAGAAGUUGGUCAAACUUGGUCAUUUAGAGGAAGUAAAAGUCGUAACAAGGUUUCCGUAGGUGAACCUGCGGAAGGAUCAUU
rnacentral:rRNA from 1 species